rnacentral:rRNA from 1 species
CAGCAGCCGCGGUAAUACGUAGGGUGCAAGCGUUAAUCGGAAUUACUGGGCGUAAAGCGUGCGCAGGCGGCUAUGCAAGACAGAUGUGAAAUCCCCGGGCUCAACCUGGGAACUGCAUUUGUGACUGCAUGGCUAGAGUACGGUAGAGGGGGAUGGAAUUCCGCGUGUAGCAGUGAAAUGCGUAGAUAUGCGGAGGAACACCGAUGGCGAAGGCAAUCCCCUGGACCUGUACUGACGCUCAUGCACGAAAGCGUGGGGAGCAAACAGGAUUAGAUACCCCUGUAGUCCCUGUCUCUUAUAC